UACGAAGGGGGCUAGCGUUGUUCGGAAUUACUGGGCGUAAAGGGCGCGUAGGCGGCCUCGUCCGUCCGGCGUGAAAUGCCUGGGCUCAACCUAGGAAUUGCGCUCGAUACAGCGAGGCUAGAGUGUGGGAGAGGUUGGUGGAAUUCCCAGUGUAGAGGUGAAAUUCGUAGAUAUUGGGAAGAACACCGGUGGCGAAGGCGGCCAACUGGACCACAACUGACGCUCAUGCACGAAAGCGUGGGGAGCAAACAGG
rnacentral:rRNA from 1 species